rnacentral:rRNA from 1 species
AACGAACGCUGGCGGCAUGCCUAACACAUGCAAGUCGAACGAGACCUUCGGGUCUAGUGGCGCACGGGUGCGUAACGCGUGGGAAUCUGCCCUUCGGUUCGGAAUAACUCAGGGAAACUUGAGCUAAUACCGGAUAAUGUCUUCGGACCAAAGAUUUAUCGCCGAAGGAUGAGCCCGCGUCGGAUUAGCUAGUUGGUGAGGUAAAAGCUCACCAAGGCGACGAUCCGUAGCUGGUCUGAGAGGAUGAUCAGCCACACUGGGACUGAGACACGGCCCAGACUCCUACGGGAGGCAGCAGUGGGGAAUAUUGGACAAUGGGCGAAAGCCUGAUCCAGCAAUGCCGCGUGAGUGAUGAAGGCCUUAGGGUUGUAAAGCUCUUUUACCCGGGAUGAUAAUGACAGUACCGGGAGAAUAAGCCCCGGCUAACUCCGUGCCAGCAGCCGCGGUAAUACGGAGGGGGCUAGCGUUGUUCGGAAUUACUGGGCGUAAAGCGCACGUA